UUUGAGACAAGCCUCACUCCGUUGCCCUGGAGUGCAGUGGUGUGAUGACUGAGGCUCACUACAGCUUGGAUCUCCCAGGCUCAGGUGAUCCUCCCACCUCAGCCUCACACAGGUGCACACCACCACACCCAGCUACUUUUUUGUAUUUUUUUUGUAGAGAGAGGGUCUUGCCAUGUUGCCCAGGCUGGUCUCAAACUCUUGCGCUCAAGUGAUCUGCCUGCCUUGGCCUCCCAGAGUCCUGGGAUUACAGCUCCGACUCAGAUUUUGAACGGAUGUUUGUUAUGUAUACCACAGUGCUACAUUAAAAACGAGUCAUGUGGAUGUGGAGAAGGGUGCUGAUCAGGACUCCCUGUUUGCUAACAAAUUCUACAGCAGAAACAAAGUAUUAAGGUUUGCAGCCAGGAAGCAAGUGCAUGGGGAAUAAGCCUGCAGCUUCUUCCAAAUGAGACACAGCCAAAUCUUUUUUGAGUCUGUUUUCUUCAUUUCUAUUAAACCAAGGUCCUUUUUAAGCAGUCGAAUUUUCAUCCAAAGCCACAGUGAGCUACUUUGUUUGGGGGAACAGUAACAGUUACCUCCACCACUGACUGGCUGCCAUCUGGAUUGAUCCGGAAAGAUCCCAUCUGAAUGGUCUUCUUGGGGUCCACCUGGGCAAUUUCCCAUUCUAGUUCAUCCACCAGAGCCCUGCAUGCUGGUGGAAGAGGAGAGAAUGAGAGCAGGGGACAGGGUAGGGGGUAGGGUAUGAGGAGAAUGGGAUCAACCCAGGAUUUCCAUUCAUCCUUCUCCCAGGCCUUGGAUCUCAUGCCCUCCCAAAGCUCUGCUUCCUCCACUUCUUUUUCCCGUUGUGCCUUUACCUCCACAGUGGAGAUCCUGGCUCCUCCGAGCCCAGGCAGUUCCCAGCAGGGCCCCCAGAAGCAGGGCCAGCCAACCCCAGCCUUUCAUCUUUAGUGUAAUGGGGUCGCUCCACCUGGGUUUGUGUGGGAAUAAAACAUAAGUGUGAGAAGCCCACUCUAUUUUUCCCUGACCCACCCACUCCUUACCCCAAGGCUUUCUAAAGGGCUCACUGUGACUCUGGCUCUACUUUCCAGGAAAUGGCCGGGACACAAAGGGGCUCCUCUGUUCCAGCACUUGAGGGCUCUGAUUCCCCCAGGGUGGUGGGUGGGAGCGCGAGCUCAGGACUUGGGGCUCAGCCCCAGACUCUACGUGGAUAGGUGAGGCCCUAAGUGUUGGUACUUUAGCACUGCAUGCCUAGGGUUCACGGGGCUUUGUGGCAGCUACAGGAGGUAAACUGGCGAUUACGUGAGGACUACAGGCACUAGGGAACUGCCGGCAGGGAGCCCUCAGUCAGGCCAGGAGGCCAGGGAGGACAGCAAUAACUAGGGCCCAUUUGGAUCCUGCACCGAAGAUUCCUGCGUCCCCACCUCCAGCCCGUAAGUGAUUACCCGUACGGACCCCAGCCCCCUUUCUAAGGACUCCGCCAUUGCUUUCGCUUCAGUCCAUCCCCAACCCUCAGCGCCCAGCGCCUCGCCGCCCGCGUCCGUCCCACCUCUGCUCCCAGGGCCGCCGCCGUGGCCCAAGCGCUGGAAGACCGCUGGACUCUCACUUUGGCCCCAGUGGCUCCCGAAACUACACCUGGCUGCAGGGAGCAGGGCUGUCCGGGAUUCUCCAGAGCGCUUCACCGCCUGCCACACACGGGGUGUCCCGGCGACCGCCUGACCCAGCUCCCCUGGCGCUAACCGGUACCUAAGCGGGGCUCCAGCGUGCUGCGGUGCGAGCCCCAAUCAGACACCGACCCCAAACCCGCCCCUCCAAACUCUCGCGCGAACAGGCAGCUUAGGAGAGGCUCCCGGACAGCAAGGACCCCGGUCAAUCGCCGAAGGACCCAGACUUGCGUGGCGACCAGCUCCACGUGACCACCAGGGGUCAGCCGUAGAAUAGGAGUGGCCUUAAGCGACGACAGAGCCUGGACGUGCUGUAUGGGAGCGGCUAGUCGUGCGCGUGAGCCAGCCCAGGUGGGCUAGGACCUUCAAAACGGUGCGCUGCAGGCCAGCGAGCAGCCCAGGUUUCAAUACACAGGAAACUACAACUCCCAGGAAGCACCGCAGCACCAGCCCCAUCUCUGUGAGCAACUACAGGUCUUAAGCUAUCCUGGGACCUGUAGUUUGUCGGCUUACACAAUUAACGGAAACCAUACUGUACAUCUUCAGUCUGACUUAGGGUACUAAGCAGCUAUAGCAAAGAUCCAGCAUUGCCCAGAAAAGGCAUAAAUUAUACCUUUUUCCUUUUUUUUUUUUUUUUUUUUGAGACGGAGUCUCGCUCUGUCGCCCAGGCAGGAGACGGAGUCUCGCUCUGUCGCCCAGGCUGGAGACGGAGUCUCGCCCUAUCGCCCAGGCUGGCAUACAGUGGCGUGAUCUUGGCUCACUGCAACCUCCGCCUCCCAGGUUGGAGCAAUUCUCUGCCUCAGCGAGGGUUACAGUCGCCAUCCACCACACCCGGCUAAUUUGUGUAUACUAAGAGACGGGGUUUCACCAUCUUGGUCAGGCUGAUCUUGAACUCCUGACCUCGUGAUCCACCCACCUCGGCCUCCCAAAGUGCUGGGAUUACAGAAGUGAGCCACCGCGCCAGGCCUAAUUACAUCCUUUCAUAUCCAUAACUUUGGAUUCUGGACCUUUACCUUCAAAGGAAGGAGAGGAAGACUGAAGCCAGAGAACCCACACUAGCAGUUCUCUAAUGAGAUAAAUGACAAACGAUAUUUUGUUUUUAUUUUAUAAAACAUGCAGUUUACAACAAAUUUUUAAAAAAUGGAACUUGGGACAGGAGGGUGGGAUGGAAGACAGAUGCUUCUCAGCCAUCAGCAGGAAUAAAUGAAGCCGGCAGCCAAGCUUUGUCCAGGAUCCAAAGGCCCUUUCGGCAAUGGUAUUGGCAACAUUGGUUUGCUUGGGCCACCAACACUCUACUUGCCGGCCCCUCCAGGUAUCCCUGAAGCAGUUGGUGACUUGUGCUAAGUCUUGAACUACUGUGGUAUCAUCUGUCACUGUCCAGGACUUCAAUCCCUAGCCAGCUAGGAACUUACAGUUAUGGUUCCAGGAGCUUCUCUGUCUGGAUAUUAGUCACCCAAGAUAUUAAGAAUACCAAUUACUUUCCAUCUGGGUCAAUUCUAGACUCCAUGUCUGUACCACUGUUUUGCAAAGAAUGAAGAAGGAAUGACUCUGGCUCCUAGAACCUUUGCAACAAUUCUGCUGUGUUCCAGUUCAAUUAAUAGCACCAUCUGUGACUCUAGACCCUGAGCACGUCCAGUACUGGAAGUGGACAAGGUAUAGCCAACUUAGGAAGCCAUCUCCCAGUUCUGAGGCUAUAGAACAGUAAAGGGAGAGGGCAGUGGUUCUUUGGGAAGGGUAGUCAGAGCGCCAGCACUGAGGAGAAGACAGCUGCAUCUGUCAGAGACAAAACCAAAAGCAUGAUUCAAGCUGAGUGGAGAAAAAGCAUCUUCUCAUACUUCCUAUGAAGGAAAAAUGCAAGACAAAAAAGGGCAUGGACCUUCCCUGGACAUUUUAGACUUGGGCAAGAGGAAGUUAUAGUUAAUGGAGAGUUUCAAUAAAAUGUAUUUUAUUGAAUGUUA